rnacentral:rRNA from 1 species
UACAGAGGGUGCGAGCGUUAAUCGGAAUUACUGGGCGUAAAGCGCGCGUAGGCGGCUUUGCAAGUCGGUUGUGAAAUCCCCGGGCUUAACCUGGGAACUGCAUUCGAGACUGCAUUGCUAGAGUAUGGGAGAGGGAAGUGGAAUUUCAGGUGUAGCGGUGAAAUGCGUAGAUAUCGGGAGGAACACCUGUGGCGAAAGCGGCUCACUGGACCACAACUGACGCUGAUGCACGAAAGCUAGGGGAGCAAACAGG